rnacentral:rRNA from 1 species
UAGGGAAUAUUGGGCAAUGGGCGAAAGCCUGACCCAGCCAUGCCGCGUGAAGGAAGACGGCCUUAUGGGUUGUAAACUUCUUUACUAUACGAAUAGAGGUUAGUACGAGUUACUAAUAGGAAGGUAGUAUAGCAAAAAGCACCGGCUAACUCCGUG